CGGGGAGCGAAGCUUGCUUUGCUCCGCCGGCGACCGGCGCACGGGUGAGUAACGCGUAUGCAACCUGCCCGUUUCAGCGGGAUAACCCGGAGAAAUCCGGCCUAAUACCGCAUGUGGCCGAGGGGAGGCAUCUUCUUUCGGCCAAAGGAGGCGACUCCGGAGACGGAUGGGCAUGCGUGACAUUAGCUUGUUGGCGGGGUAACGGCCCACCAAGGCGACGAUGUCUAGGGGUUCUGAGAGGAAGGUCCCCCACACUGGUACUGAGACACGGACCAGACUCCUACGGGAGGCAGCAGUGAGGAAUAUUGGUCAAUGGGCGAGAGCCUGAACCAGCCAAGUCGCGUGAAGGAUGACGGCCCUACGGGUUGUAAACUUCUUUUGUCAGGGAGCAAUUGGGUCCACGCGUGGGCUUAGCGAGAGUACCUGAAGAAAAAGCAUCGGCUAACUCCGUGCCAGCAGCCGCGGUAAUACGGAGGAUGCGAGCGUUAUCCGGAUUUAUUGGGUUUAAAGGGUGCGUAGGCGGAAUAUCAAGUCAGCGGUAAAAAUUCGGGGCUCAACCCCGUCGUGCCGUUGAAACUGAUGUUCUUGAGUGGGCGAGAAGUAUGCGGAAUGCGUGGUGUAGCGGUGAAAUGCAUAGAUAUCACGCAGAACUCCGAUUGCGAAGGCAGCAUACCGGCGCCCAACUGACGCUGAAGCACGAAAGCGUGGGUAUCGAACA
rnacentral:rRNA from 1 species